GACGAACGCUGGCGGCGUGCUUAACACAUGCAAGUCGAACGAGACGAUUGAAAGCUUGCUUUCGAAAGUCGAGUGGCAAACGGGUGAGUAACGCGUAGACAACCUGCCUUUGAGAUGGGGACAACAGUUCGAAAGGACUGCUAAUACCGAAUGUUGUAUAUUUUCCACAUGGAAGAUAUAUUAAAGAUGGCCUCUAUUUAUAAGCUAUCGCUCAAAGAUGGGUCUGCGUCUGAUUAGCUGGUUGGUGGGGUAACGGCCUACCAAGGCGACGAUGAGUAGCCGGUCUGAGAGGAUGAACGGCAACAUUGGGACUGAGACACGGCCCGGACUCCUACGGGAGGCAGCAGUGGGGAAUCUUCCACAAUGGACGAAAGUCUGAUGGAGCAACGCCGCGUGAGUGAAGAAGGGUUUCGGCUCGUAAAGCUCUGUUGUCGGGGACGAAUGUGCAGUAUUUGAAUAAAGUACUGCAAUGACGGUACCUGACGAGGAAGCCACGGCUAACUACGUGCCAGCCGCCGCCGUAA
rnacentral:rRNA from 1 species